CAAGUGGGCAAGUAGUAAUAGUUUGGUGCCUACUCCCUCUGCCGUUACCCAGUUAGUCUCUCUCUGUCACACCGCAAUACGUCACUAAUUGGGCAAUGGGUUGCGAUUGAUUAGGCUACCUGACAUAUUACCCACAGGCUUAUGUAUAGGCACCCGAGGUCCUAAAGCCGGUAGCUCGUCAACACCACUGGUUCUGGGAUUGUGUAGCAGAGUCACGGGUGCUGCGUGAAAUAAACAGGAGGGCAGACGCUGGCAGAGCCGCUGUGUUUUGAUGUACGUGUGUGGGCGUGACGCCGUGUUGUGUGCAAAAAGUGUCUGCUGGGCACUGUUACCAUAGCAGAGAGGGCAGUUAUUCUCCAGAAGCCAUCAGCCACAGUGUAGUAGCCAUCUUGAAAAGCGUUAGACCCUCGCAGCUACCCAGGGCUGCUAGUUGCUGUUCUCUUUUAAUGUGUAUUUGAUGCAUUGGUGCCGCGUAUAGUUUGUUUACUUUUUUUUUGUUCCUCUAGCCUAUCGGCCUAAGUAGCUUGUGUAGGUACUACCUAUUUAAUGUGAGCCGCAGGCUAGAGUGGAUUUAUUUUGUUUGUUUUUCUUUUUUACUGUACUUCCAGUUCGUGUGUCUCCCUCCCCCCUCCACAGCUAAUAGCCUCGGUGCUUAUAAGGCCCAUUAGUACCUGACCUUGGAUAGCCGGUCUCUGUAGUUUUUCUCACUCUAGUAGCCUACAGAGAUUGCAGUGUGCAUGUAGUUUGAACUCUUAAUUGCCGUGUCACAUAUCACAGAGUGUCUUGGAUAUUGUAGUGCAUUUUCCCUGAAUCUAAAACACGUGUUAUUUAGUGCACACAAGACCACGUGUGUUAGAGACCUGGCCUGACAUCAGUUCUCCUAGUGGCCCAGUACCGAGGUUCCCCAGUCCCCCUAUUGUGUCUAUGUAUUUUUUUUGUAUUAUAUCUGGUGACCAACCAACGCUACUCGUGUCUACUAUUUAUUAAUAAAGACUAUUUUUAUACUUUCACCAAAAACUGGCAAUAGUGUUAUUGAGUUCCCCUUGCUCUGACAUAAUUUAGCCCACUUCAAGGGGUGGCGUAGUCAACAGUACCCGAGAGGGCGCUACACAUAUGAG